rnacentral:rRNA from 1 species
UUCGCAAUGCCCGAAAGGGUGACGAAGCGACGCCGCGUGUGGGAAGAAGGCCUUCGGGUUGUAAACCACUGUCGGGAGUUAAGAAAUGCAAGGAUAUUAAUAGUGUCUUUGUUUGACUAAGGCUCCGGAGGAAGCCACGGCUAACUCUGUGCCAGCAGCCGCGGUAAUACAGAGGCGGCAAGCGUUGUUCGGAAUUAUUGGGCGUAAAGAGCACGUAGGCGGCUAUGUAAGUCGGUUGUGAAAGCCUUCCGCUCAACGGAAGAACAGCAUCCGAUACUACAUGGCUUGAGUGCGGGAGGGGAGAGUGGAACUUCUGGUGGAGCGGUGAAAUGCGUAGAUAUCAGAAGGAACGCCGGCGGCGAAAGCGGCUCUCUGGCCCAUAACUGACGCUGAGUGUGCGAAAGCUAGGGGAGCAAACAGGAUUAGAUACCCCGGUAGUCCUAGCCGUAAACGAUGGGCACUAAGUAGAGGGGUUUU